rnacentral:rRNA from 1 species
UACAGAGGUCCCAAGCGUUGUUCGGAUUCACCGGGCGUAAAGGGUGCGUAGGUGGCUACUGAAAGUUUGAUGUGAAAUCUCCGGGCUUAACCCGGAAAAUGCAUUGAAUACUGCAGAGCUGGAGGGUUGGAGGGGGGACUGGAAUUCUCGGUGUAGCAGUGAAAUGCGUAGAUAUCGAGAGGAACACCAGUGGCGAAGGCGAGUCCCUGGACAACACCUGACACUGAGGCACGAAAGCUAGGGGAGCAAACAGG